rnacentral:rRNA from 1 species
UACGUAGGGGGCAAGCGUUGUCCGGAAUCAUUGGGCGUAAAGAGCGCGUAGGCGGUCCGGUAAGUCCGCUCUGAAAGUCCGGGGCUCAACCCCGGGAGGCGGGCGGAUACUGUCGGGCUAGAGUCCGGAAGAGGCGAGUGGAAUUCCUGGUGUAGCGGUGAAAUGCGCAGAUAUCAGGAGGAAUACCGAUGGCGAAGGCAGGUCUCUGGGCUGACACUGACGCUCAUGCACGAAAGCGUGGGGAGCAAACAGG